GGUGACAUCUCAGUCAGCAGCCACAUCGGAGGACUUCAGAGUCAGAAUUUUUCACGUGGGGUCCUGAUAGUGGUAUCCUCAGAUUCCACCUCGCUGAAGAAAUUACCCUUGACAAGCAAAGGAUGGAGACUCUGGGGCCUUGGUUUGUGAUUUUCACCAUCAGAUGUCUCUUGGAGCUGCCACUUUCCCACACUCCUGAUGUCCCCAAGCCCAGAGAGGUUCGUGCAUCUUCUACAGCCCUCACUAGUGGCUCCUCGUUCGGCAGAGCCCAAGCGCAUCACACCGGGCCAUAAAGGGAAGAUCACAAGUCCUCAAGAGGAGCGGUCUGUGCAGGAAUGCACAGAGGAGACUGUCCCAGUGUCCUCAGAGGCCCCUUGCCCCUUAUCCCUCUCCCCUUGCCCCGUAUCCUGCGCAACCGCAUUGGCCUCGGGAUCCCUAUUCCUGCUUCCAGUCCUGGGGAGAGGGUCUGGGGGUGUCGCAGCCUGAGCCCCGCCGCGCGCGCAGCCCCGCUCCUCCCCGCGCGCCCCACUUGUGGCCCCGCCGGCAGCUUCGCAGGGACAGCUGCAUUUCUCGCCGCCCGCCGCUAGGAAGCCGGCCUCGCCUCGCUUUCUCCGCCUCCCGGCGCCCAGCCGCGCCGCCGCGCCACCAAGCCGGGCUGCCGCUGCCGCCGCGGGACCGCGCCCCUCCCCCGCCGCCCGACCCCAGCGGCCCCGCGGGAGCGGACGCGCGUGCGGUGCUCGGUAAGACCCCGAUUCGCUCUCGCCGCCCCUAGCGCGAGCUCGCGGGCGCCGCGCUCCACCCCGGCCCGGUGGCCCCACCUUCCCCGGGAGCAUCGCCGAGGCGCGGCCGCGAGGGCCGGGCCGUCGCGAGUUUGAGUCCUCGCGCGGUGGCCAAGGCUGCCCGGGAGCCCGCGGCAGGUCCCCGGCCGCCCUCCCUCCGCCGCUGCCCGCCUCGUUCCUGGUCCUGGGCACAGGGAGCGUGCGGAGGAUCCCGGGGCCGCGAUCCGAGGGGUGGUCGCCGGCCAGCCGGCGCCGCGAGGAAGGGACGCGAGGCCUUGGGGAGCCUGCUCAACCCGGGUCUCUCUGCUCCCCGGUUCCCCGCUUUGUGUGGACACCCUCCCGGCUUCGCCCGGGCUUGGGGGCGCAGCCUGAAUGGCGAUGGCGAGGCGGGGGCCUGGGUUGGGAGCUGAACUCCUUUUAGGGGGAGGGGAGAAUCGUUUCCUGCUCCCGCCGUGGUCACCGGUCGGUUCAGCCUUUUCUGGUCCCACCCGGUCCCCUGGGAGCUGCGUCUCUCCGCGACCCGGCUGGAGAAAGUUCAGAAUGCGCUGUCCCCGCCCCUGCUCCCCCGCCCCUCGAACUCUGAGUGCCUGGGGCGCUGAGCUCCAGGGGGCCGGGGCUUGCCUUUAUUCCUUCAGCGCUCUUGGGUUUCUCUCUGAAUGGUUGGUGGCUUGCCACCCCAGCAUGGGCUUGUCCAUUUUCUUUCCUUAAUAAAAAGUUUCAGCUUC